rnacentral:rRNA from 1 species
UACGUAGGGUGCAAGCGUUGUCCGGAAUUAUUGGGCGUAAAGAGCUCGUAGGCGGUCGGUCACGUCGGGAGUGAAAACCUGGGGCUUAACCCCGGGCCUGCUUUCGAUACGGGCAGACUAGAGUUCGGCAGGGGAGACUGGAAUUCCUGGUGUAGCGGUGAAAUGCGCAGAUAUCAGGAGGAACACCGGUGGCGAAGGCGGGUCUCUGGGCCGAUACUGACGCUGAGGAGCGAAAGCGUGGGGAGCGAACAGG